rnacentral:rRNA from 1 species
UACGUAGGGGGCAAGCGUUGUCCGGAAUCAUUGGGCGUAAAGCGCGUGUAGGCGGCUGAGUAAGUCUGCUCUGAAAGCCCGGGGCUCAACCCCGGGAGGCGGGUGGAUACUGCUCAGCUCGAGUCCGGAAGAGGAGUGUGGAAUUCCUGGUGUAGCGGUGAAAUGCGCAGAUAUCAGGAGGAACACCGAUGGCGAAGGCAGCACUCUGGGACGGUACUGACGCUGAGACGCGAAAGCGUGGGGAGCAAACAGG